rnacentral:tRNA from 1 species
GCGCCAGUGGUUUGGUGGUAAAAUCCAUCGUUGCCAUCGAUGGGCCCCGCGUUCCAUUCGCGGCUGGCGCA